ensembl:snoRNA SNORD39 Small nucleolar RNA SNORD55/SNORD39
UGAGCAAUAUGAUGAUACUAUAAGCGGAAUCCGAGCUCGCUAUGAGGAUAACUACCUUGGAGAACUGAUUGCUCA